AUUUAUUAGAAACUAAAACCAAUCAGCUUCGGCUGUUUGAGAUGAUUCAUAAUAACUCGGCAAAUUACGGGAAAAUUCCUGUGAUGAUUCAAACGGAUUUCUGACCUAUCAACUUUAGAUGGCAAAGUAGGGGUUUGCCAUGGUGACAGCGGGUGACGGGGAAUUAGGGUUCGAUUCCGGAGAGGGAGCCUGAGAAACGGCUACCACUUCCAAGGAAGGCAGCAGGCGCGCAAAUUACCCAAUGCUAAUUCGGCGAGGUAGUGACAAGAAAUACCAAUGUAGGACCCAACGGGUACUACGUUUGGAAUGAGAACAAUUUAAAAACCUUAACGAGGAACAAUUGGAGGGCAAGUCUGGUGCCAGCAGCCGCGGUAAUACCAGCUCCAAUAGUGUAUAUUAAAGUUGCUGCGGUUAAAAAGCUCGUAGUUGGAUUACGAAGUGGUGUUUAAAUGUCAUUUUGGUUUGUUUGUCUUUCGGGGCAUUCAGGUCAACUUGGCUUUUACUCACUGUUGUCAUUGUCUUUGCCCAAGGUAUAUGCCUUGUGUGCAUGGCAUUGACCUUCUAUUUUAUGGUAAUGUUGUUUCUUUCGGGGUACAUUCAUUCCAUAUAGUUUACUUUGAAAAAAUUAGGGUGUUUAAAGCAGGCGAAAAGGCUUCGGAAUAUAUUAGCAUGGGAUAAUAGAAUACGAUCUAGGUCGUAAUUUGUUGGUUUCUACGGCUUAGGUAAUGAUUGACAGGGAUAGUUGGGGUCGCUCGUAUUGAGUUGUCAGAGGUGAGAUUCUAGGAUUAACUCAAGACGAACUAAUGCGAAAGCAUUCGGCAAGGAUGUUUUCAUUAAUCAAGAACGAAAGUUGGGGGAUCGAAGAUGAUCAGAUACCGUCGUAGUCUCAACUGUAAACUAUGUCGACCGAGGAUCCGGUAGCGUUACAUGGAUGACCUUCCGGGCACUCUGUGAGAAAUCAUAAGUAUUUGGAUUUCGGGGGGAGUAUGGUCGCAAGGCUGAAACUUAAAGGGAUUGACGGAAGGGCACCACCAGGAGUGGAAUCUGCGGCUUAAUUUGACCCAACACGGGAAAACUUACCAGGUCCGGACACAGUGAGGAUUGACAGAUUGAGAGCUCUUUCUUGAUUUUGUGGGUGGUGGUGCAUGGCCGUUUUUAGUUGGUGGAGUGAUUUGUCUGGUUAAUUCCGUUAACGAACGAGACCUUAACCUAUUAAAUAGCUGCGCGAACCCAGGUUCUCUAACCAUUCUCUCCUUCGGGGGGGCGUGGUAUCAUUAUUU
rnacentral:rRNA from 1 species